GGAGGGAACAGCUCAGGGUAGAGUGCAUGCUUAGCAUGCAUGAGGUCCCGGGCUCAAUCCCCAGCACCUCCA
rnacentral:tRNA from 1 species